ACAAUUUGUAGCGAUGGAUGUCUCGGCUCGAACAACGAUGAAGGGCGCAGCGAAGUGCGAUAAGCAUUGUGAAUUGCAGAAUUCCGUGAAUUGAUAGAAACCUGAACGCAUAUUGUACGCUUGGGAUUUCCUGAGAGUGCGCCUGCUUCAGUGU
rnacentral:rRNA from 1 species